AGUGAACGCUGGCGGUAGGCCUAACACAUGCAAGUCGAACGGCAGCACAGGAGAGCUUGCUCUCUGGGUGGCGAGUGGCGGACGGGUGAGGAAUGCAUCGGAAUCUACUCUUUCGUGGGGGAUAACGUAGGGAAACUUACGCUAAUACCGCAUACGACCUACGGGUGAAAGCCGGGGACCUUCGGGCCUGGCGCGAAAGAAUGAGCCGAUGCCCGAUUAGCUAGUUGGCGGGGUAAGAGCCCACCAAGGCGACGAUCGGUAGCUGGUCUGAGAGGAUGAUCAGCCACACUGGAACUGAGACACGGUCCAGACUCCUACGGGAGGCAGCAGUGGGGAAUAUUGGACAAUGGGCGCAAGCCUGAUCCAGCCAUACCGCGUGGGUGAAGAAGGCCUUCGGGUUGUAAAGCCCUUUUGCUGGGAAAGAAAAGCAGUCGGUUAAUACCCGAUUGUUCUGACGUACCCAAGAAUAAGCACCG
rnacentral:rRNA from 1 species